CUGCUGGCGACCGGCAAACGGGUGCGGAACACGUACAGAACCUUCCUUUAAGCGGGGGAUAGCCCAUAGAAAUGUGGAUUAAUACCCCAUAGUAAUGCUGGUUGGCAUCAACUGGUAUUUAAAGAUUUAUCACUUACAGAUGGCUGUGCGUCUGAUUAGGUAGUUGGUGUGGGUAACGGCCCACCAAGCCAUCGAUCAGUAACUGGUGUGAGAGCACGACCAGUCACACGGGCACUGAGACACGGGCCCGACUCCUACGGGAGGCAGCAGUAAGGAAUAUUGGUCAAUGGACGCAAGUCUGAACCAGCCAUGCCGCGUGAAGGAUGAAGGCCCUCUGGGUUGUAAACUUCUUUUAUCUGGGAAGAAAUGCUUGCUUUUUAGUGAGUUUGACGGUACCAGAGGAAUAAGCACCGGCUAACUCCGUGCCAGCAGCCGCGGUAAUACGGAGGGUGCAAGCGUUAUCCGGAUUCACUGUGUUUAAAGGGUGCGUAGGUGGGUCAGUAAGUCAGUGGUGGAAUCUCCGUGCUUAACAUGGAAACUGCCAUUGAUACUACUGGUCUUGAAUUUUCUGGAGGUAAGCGGAAUAUGUCAUGUAGCGGUGAAAUGCUUAAAUAUGACAUA
rnacentral:rRNA from 1 species